rnacentral:rRNA from 1 species
GUCUGUGGUCAUACCCCCUGAAUGCACCCAGUCUCAUCUGAUCUCAGAAGCUAAGCAGGGUCAGGCCUUGUCAGUCCUUGGAUGGGAAGAGAAUAACUUGCCCAAGGUC